AGACACUUAACCCUAAGUGUCUCCAGGGGGACUGUCCCUAUAACUACUGAUUGUAAGCCGCUCUGGAUAAGGGCUGUAAAUAUAAAUGCAGCUUGUGUGCAAAGAUUCUUCGUUCUUAUCUGCUUCCUGCAGGGCAUCGAUGCAGGUACUGGAAGUAUUGCUCAGCCUGCGUUUCCCAGUCCAGGGAUGUACCAGCUGGACAUUGUGCUGAAAAGAGGACACAAUCUGGCAAUAAGAGACAGAGGAGGAACAAGUGAUCCAUAUGUCAAGUUUAAGGUCUCAGGUAAAGAAUUUUAUCGCAGCAAAAUCAUUUACAAGAACCUCAACCCAGUGUGGGACGAAAAGGUCCGACUCCUAGUUGACAGCCUUUAUGAACCCCUCUAUUUGAAGGUGUUUGACUAUGACUUUGGGCCUCAUGAUGACUUCAUUGGAUCUGCUCACCUCUACCUUGAAUCUCUAGAAGCUCUGAACUUAAUGCUUGACCUGAAGGACCCUAAUCUCCCACAGGAGGCCCUGGGUUCCCUUGAGCUAUCUAUCACAGUGACUCCUAAAGACAUUGAUGACAGCGAGGCUGUGAGUGGCUCUCAUCAACAGCAGCAGAUCCUUCGACUGUCAGACAUACACAGGAAGCCUCAACUGUUGAGUGGGAUAGUGAGCAUCAGUCUCAUUGAGGGUCAUGACCUCACACCCAUGGAUGAAAAUGGACUCAGUGAUCCUUAUGUGAAGUUCAAGCUUGGACAACAGAAGUAUAGGAGCAAGACAAUUUUCAAAACUCUAAACCCACAGUGGAGGGAGCACUUUGACCUGCAUAUGUAUGAAGAUGAGGGGAAGAUCCUAGACAUAUCACUGUGGGACAGAGACACAGGGAGAAGAGACGACUUCAUUGGCCAAUGCCAAGUAGACCUGUCCACGCUAAGUAAGGAGGUCACACAUAAGCUAGAUCUCCCUCUAGAGGAGGGCCAGGGUACACUGGUGCUGCUGGUGACCCUGACCGCAACCACGGCUGUUGCUGUCUCAGACCUCACCGUCAACAAUUUGGAUGACCCUGAUGAGCGGCAACAGAUUCUGAAGAGAUAUAAUCUUCUCAGGUCUUUUCUUAACCUGAAGGACGUCGGUUUUGUUCAGAUCAAGGUCAUACGAGCGGAGGGACUGCUGGCAGCUGAUGUCACAGGAAAGAGCGACCCGUUCUGCGUGGUGGAGCUGUGCAACGAUCGGCUGAAGACACACACGGUCUACAAGAACCUCAGUCCGGAGUGGAAUAAAGUCUUCACCUUCAACAUUAAAGACAUCAACGCUGUGCUUGAGGUGACUGUGUACGACGAGGACCGGGACCGAAGUGCAGAUUUCCUGGGCAAAGUGGCCAUUCCUUUACUACAAAUUCACAACGGCGAACAGAAGGCCUACGUCUUGAAAAACAAGGAGCUGACAGGGCCAACAAAGGGGGUCAUCUUCCUCGAAACAGACGUCAUUUUCAAUGUGGUGAAGGCUAGCCUGAGGACCUUGAAGCCACUAGAACAGAAAUACAUUGAAGAUGAGCAGAAAGUCUCCAAACAGCUGUUGCAGCACCACUUUGCCCGGGCAAAGUGCUGCAUCAUGCUCCUAAUUAACAUGGGCUCCUACAUCAACAGCUGCUUCAAGUGGGAAUCUCCUCUGAGAAGUAUUUGUGCCUUUCUGAUCUUUGUUGUGGUUGUGUGGAACUUUGAAAUCUACAUGAUCCCACUCUCUUUACUGCUGCUCCUGGCAUGGAACUACCUCCUGCUGGCUUCUGGGUGGAAGUCCUCUGAGGGUGAUGUGGUGAGUAGUUUUACCCUUUUGUAUGAAUCUGAGAAAAAAGGUUUAAUGGAAAGGUUGCAUGCCCUUCAGGACGUGUGCAUCACCAUUCAGAAUGGCUUGGACCAGAUCGCUUCCACCAGCGAGAGGAUAAAGAACGUUUUCAACUGGACCGUGCCUUUUCUCAGCUGGCUGGCCAUCACACUGCUGUGUGCGGCCACUGUGCUGAUCUACUUCAUCCCCAUCAGAUACCUUGUGUUGGCCUGGGGUAUCAAUAAAUUCUCCAAGAAGUUGCGUAGCCCCACUGAGAUAGACAACAACGAACUGCUAGACUUCCUCUCCAGGGUGCCAUCAGACAUGCAAGUGAUUCAGUACAGAGAGCUGAAACUGGACCAGAGUUCAAACAAGCGGCGACGAAAUAACCCAGGCUAGCCUCUGACCUUGCAGUUUUUUUUACUUUCAAUGUUCAGUACAAUGCUUCAUGAGCAAAAUGUAAUGUAAACAACACUGUAAAUGAUGUAAAGAUUUUAUGUGGUGUAUCGGUAGUACAGUCGUGGGCAAAUGUUUUGAGAAUAACACAAAUACUGGUUUUCACAAAGUUUGCUGUUUCAAUGUUUUAGAUAUUUUUGUCAGUUGUUUCUGUGGUGUAUCGAAGUAUAAUGUCAAGCAUUUUAUAAGUUUCAAUGGGUUUUAUUGACAAUUACAUCAAAGAGUCAAUAUUUCCUGGCCAUUGACCCAAAUUUUCAAUGUUUUGUUUAGUUAUCAUUUUGGCCUUAUGGCACAGUGCUCCAUCAUGCUGGAAAAGGCAUUGUUCUUCACCAAACUAUUCUCGGACCAAACUGUUGUACCAUUUUCUUGUUCUUUUUGUACCAUUCUUUAUUCAUGGCCGUGUCCCUUGGAUGAGAAGCAGCACCACACAUGAAUGGUCUCAGGAUGCUUUACUGUUGGCACAAGACAGGACUGAUGGUAGCGCUCACCUUUUCAUCUCCAGACAGUAAUUUUUCCAGAUGCCCCAAACAAUCAGAAAGGGGCUUCAUCAGAGAAAAUGACUUUACCCCAGUUCUCAGCAGUCCAAUCCCUGUACGUUUUGCAAAAUAGAAGUCUGUCCUUGACAUUUUUAUUGGAGAAAUGUGGCUUCUUUACUGCCCUUCUUGACACCAUGCCAUUCUCCAGUAGUUUUCGCCUCACUGUGUGUGCAGAUGCAGAUGACUGCUGCCAUUCCUGAUCAAGGUCUGAACUGAUGGUACCCUGAUCCCACAACUGAAUAAUCUUUAGGAGACGGUCCUUGCUGGACUUUCUUGGGCAACACUUGAACCUCUCUCCUUGAAGUUGAUGAUCCAAUAAAUGGUUGGUUUAGGUGCA
ensembl:lncRNA